rnacentral:lncRNA from 1 species
CGAAACAUUCCCUCUCGCUUUCAUGCUUUUAGCAAAGAAAGUCGAACAGAAUUACUUAAACCAACUCAAAGAGACCUCAUCUGGGAUCUGCCAAUGGGAAAGGUUCCUGGUUUUUACUGAACAAGUGAUAGGUAAACAAAGAAGAGGAAGGGAACCCAAAAAGGUACUACUCUGUCUCUAUGUUCCACCAAUUUCUUAUUUUUCCAGUGACUCCAGUCUAGAUUAUGUGAUCAUAUUUUACUACAGCAUUUGGGUUCUGCGCUAUUUUAAUACUAGUCAUCUUCAGUUUAAUAUGAAGGAUUGGGCUGUUUGUUUGUUACAGAACCAAAGAAAACCCCAACAAAUUAAGUUUAAUCAAUUUCAUGGAAAUGAGUUAAUUCAUGAAAUAAACUGGAUGAAUGUAGAUGUUAUAAGUGCGGCCACAAAAUUAUCCAAGGAUUGGAUUAUUCCAACUGAAUGUGGACAUUGUGUAUGACAUUCUAUUUUUGCCAACCUUACAAGCAGUAGGUUGAACUAGUAUAUUUGUCCAAAAGGUCGCAGGAUGUGAGAAUCUCAUCUCCUGUUUUGCUUUCGAUCAAAGGUUUUAUAAUAGAUACUGGAUGGAUUUCUUUGAAAUUCUGGGAAAACUGUACUACAAUGCAGUGGUUUUGUUUAUUUAUCAUGGCAGACAUUUAUUUUGCAUACGACUCUUCUAGACCAUUGGAUAUGGUUGGCCAUAGAGAAAGAUGUUAGAGAACUAGAUCGCCCCAUAACUUGACAGAAUAGCUUGGGCUACUGCAUACCUAUGUGUUAGCUGUCAAGUCAAUGAUAAUUUUAAGGUUUGAUGGUUUGCUGGAAGCAUUAGUAUUUGAUGAUACAAUAGAGGUUCAUUCUUUGGGUGAGUCUUGUCAAUGUUGACAUUCCCGAACACAUCCUUAAGUCAUUGAUGACUCAACAAAAAUUCAUUCUUUGCUCAAUUUAGUGUAUUAAAUGUUGAUAUUCCAGUGCACGUCAUCCAACCUUCAAUCGCAGGCGCCCUUUCGCAGAGGACUUGACACUUGCCUGCUGUCGGGGUUAGCAAAAUCUUCAAAUUUCUACUCUUGUUUGAAUCAAGAAGCUGGGAGCUGCAUGAGUGCAGUUGUGGUGUAGAUAGAUGUGAGAGAAUUGAUUUUGUAGGGUUGGCUUUGAAGUUUACGUUAUUUUGGGCAUAAGGGUGGUAUUUACCAUGAAUGCCAAUCUUCUAAAACAUUGCAGUAUUAUGAAGGACCAAUUCUUGGAGGAUGUUAUAUCUAUACGUGUGCUCCUUAUAACAAAGGCACUCACGGGUUAAGCUGGAAAGCUAUACAAUCUCAAGCCAUUGGCAUCAGAAGUUAGUUUGUUUAACUUGUGUAAAGCAUGGAAAUGCUGAGAUUGAUGGUCCAAUUUGCUCAUUCAAAAAUGAGACAGUGCAGUGCCAUCUUUAUUCUCAGUCGAUAUGUCAUGUGUGAAGAAAGCUACCCUUAAGACAUUCUCCUCAUAACUCAACACAUCUCCAUUCCUUGAUCUUAUGGAGUACCUGGGGAUGCAUCAGCCAAGAAAAUAUAUUGACUCUACUAUGAUUCUCAAAGGGUAUGAUUGCUCGAACUAAUUAAUAUGUGCUUUCUUUCUUGAGUUUUCCUAAAUAGAUUUCUCUUUGGCUGUCUGUCGAAUCUGCUGGCUAAUUGAACUCAAAAACAAGUAGAGGUAUUUCUAUUCCCUAUUUUUUCGACAGGCAGCCAAAUUGUUCUAACUUAAAUGAUGUUGGUCUGAUGCAUCUCUCAUUGUUAUUGAAUAGGUCAAGUUUGUCGAGGAAAUGAGGACUUGUUUGGUAAUGUUUUCGUUUUUAGGUCUUAGCUAGAAAGCUAGUAAGAAGUAUGAGAGAUAACAUGGAGAAAUAUAUGAUGGAGAAAGCAAAUUGAUGCAAAGAAGAAAAAUGCAUAGCACAAGCUUGUAAAGAUAUCUGGAAGCAUUUUGUUUUCAUUUACUUUAUACAUGAGUCUGGUACCUAUAGGGUUCAAAAUAGUCGGCUUACAGGAGUCAAUCUCAUGAAACACACAUUAAAGAAAAGUUACAAUGGUAAUGAGUAUCAACUAUAUUUCAACACCACCAUAGUCGACCUUUUUAUGCAGACCUGAGCAGUAGUAUAUUGCUCUAAUAUCACUUGCUCAAUAGAGUGGCUAACUAGUCUGAGUAUUUGUGAAG